AGCCCGCUCAGAAACUCAAAGGAAGUUAGACGGGGGCCCGCACAAGCGGAGGAGCAUGUGGUUUAAUUCGAUGAUACGCGAGGAACCUUACCUGGGCUCGAACGUAAGAUGACUGUAGGUGAAAGCUUACAUCUCCUCGGAGCAUUUUACGAGGUGCUGCAUGGUUGUCGUCAGCUCGUGCCGUGAGGUGUCGGGUUAAGUCCCAUAACGAGCGCAACCCUACCUUUAGUUGCCAUCAGGUAAUGCUGGGGACUCUAAAGGAACUGCCUACGCAAGUAGUGAGGAAGGCGGGGAUGACGUCAAAUCAGCACGGCCCUUACGUCCAGGGCUACACACGUGCUACAAUGGCCGAUACAGAGGGCAGCUACCUGGUGACAGGAUGCAAAUCUCCAAAGUCGGUCUCAGUUCGGAUCGGAGUCUGCAACCCGACUCCGUGAAGUUGGAUUCGCUAGUAAUCGCGCAUCAGCCAUGGCGCGGUGAAUACGUUCCCGGGCCUU
rnacentral:rRNA from 1 species